rnacentral:rRNA from 1 species
ACACGUGGGUGAUCUGCCCUGCACAUUUGGGAUAAGCCUGGGAAACUGGGUCUAAUACCGAAUACACCCUGCUGGUCGCAUGGCCUGGUGGGGGAAAGCUUUUGCGGUGUGGGAUGGGCCCGCGGCCUAUCAGCUUGUUGGUGGGGUGAUGGCCUACCAAGGCGACGACGGGUAGCCGGCCUGAGAGGGUGUCCGGCCACACUGGGACUGAGAUACGGCCCAGACUCCUACGGGAGGCAGCAGUGGGGAAUAUUGCACAAUGGGCGCAAGCCUGAUGCAGCGACGCCGCGUGGGGGAUGACGGCCUUCGGGUUGUAAACCUCUUUCACCAUCGGCGAAGCCGGGGGCUUUUGUUUCCGGUGACGGUAGGUGGAGAAGAAGCACCGGCCAACUACGUGCCAGCAGCCGCGGUAAUACGUAGGGUGCGAGCGUUGUCCGGAAUUACUGGGCGUAAAGAGCUCGUAGGUGGUUUGUCGCGUUGUCCGUGAAAUUCCCUGGCUUAACUGGGGGCGUGCGGGCGAUACGGGCAGACUGGAGUACUGCAGGGGAGACUGGAAUUCCUGGUGUAGCGGUGGAAUGCGCAGAUAUCAGGAGGAACACCGGUGGCGAAGGCGGGUCUCUGGGCAGUAACUGACGCUGAGGAGCGAAAGCGUGGGGAGCGAACAGGAUUAGAUACCCUGGUAGUCCACGCCGUAAACGGUGGGUACUAGGUGUGGGUUUCCUUCCUUGGGAUCCGUGCCGUAGCUAACGCAUUAAGUACCCCGCCUGGGGAGUACGGCCGCAAGGCUAAAACUCAAAGAAAUUGACGGGGGCCCGCACAAGCGGCGGAGCAUGUGGAUUAAUUCGAUGCAACGCGAAGAACCUUACCUGGGUUUGACAUGCACAGGACGUCGGUAGAGAUAUCGGUUCCCUUGUGGUCUGUGUGCAGGUGGUGCAUGGCUGUCGUCAGCUCGUGUCGUGAGAUGUUGGGUUAAGUCCCGCAACGAGCGCAACCCUUGUCUCAUGUUGCCAGCGCGUUAUGGCGGGGACUCGUGAGAGACUGCCGGGGUCAACUCGGAGGAAGGUGGGGAUGACGUCAAGUCAUCAUGCCCCUUAUGUCCAGGGCUUCACACAUGCUACAAUGGCCGGUACAAAGGGCUGCGAUGCCGUGAGGUGUAGCGAAUCCUUUAAAGCCGGUCUCAGUUCGGAUCGGGGUCUGCAACUC